GCCGCGGUAAUUCCAGCUCCAAUAGCGUAUAUUAAAGUUGUUGCAGUUAGAACGCUCGUAGUCGGAUUUCGGGGCAGUCCGACCGGUCUGCCGAUGGGUAUGCACUGGCCGGAGUGUCCUUUUUGCCGGAGACCGUGCCUACUCUUAACUGAGCGGGGGCGGGAGACGGCACUUUUACUUUGAAAAAAUCAGAGUGUUUCAAGCAGGCAGCUCGCUCUUGCAUGGAUUAGCAUGGGAUAAUGAAAUAGGACUUUGGUGCUAUUUUGUUGGUUUCGAACACCGAAGUAAUGAUGAGAAGGGACAGUCAGGGGCACUCGUAUUCCGCAGAGAGAGGUGAAAUUCUCAGACCCGCGGAAGACGAACCACUGCGAAAGCAUUUGCCAGGGAUGUUUUCACUGAUCAAGAAUGAAAGUUAGGGGAUCGAAGAUGAUCAGAUACCGUCGUAGUCUUAACCAUAAACCAUGCCGACUAGGGAUUGGAGGAUGUUCACUGAUUGACUCCUUCAGCACCUUACGGGAAACUAAAGUCUUUGGGUUCCGGGGGGAGUAUGGUCGCAAGGCUGAAACUUAAAGGAAUUGACGGAAGGGCACCACCAGGUGUGGAGCCUGCGGCUUAAUUUGACUCAACACGGGGAAACUUACCAGGUCCAGACAUUGUGAGGAUUGACAGAUUGAGAGCUCUUUCUUGAUUCGAUGGGUGGUGGUGCAUGGCCGUUCUUAGUUGGUGGAGCGAUUUGUCUGGUUAAUUCCGUUAACGAACGAGACCUUAGCCUGCUAAAUAGUGACGCGAACUCUUUGUUGGCGGGCCACUUCUUAGAGGGACAACUUGUCUUCAACAAGUGGAAGUUUGAGGCAAUAACAGGUCUGUGAUGCCAAAGCGAAGUCGCGCGCUAAUCCAUUCGGCCUAUAUG
rnacentral:rRNA from 1 species